GAAAUGCGAUAAGUAGUGUGAAUUACAGAAUUUAGUAAAUCAUCGAAUCUUUAAACGCACAUUGCGCCCCUUAGUAUUCUAUAGAGCAUGCUUGUUCGAGCGUCAUUUACACCCUCAAGCUCUACUUAAUAUUAGGCGUCUGUCCUGCCGCUUACUGGCGUGAGGACUCGCCCUAAAGAUAUUAGUAGUAGCCUUUAUUAGCUUCUCGCGCAGCGAAGAUUGCGUCGAUUAAGGCAUAGCGUUAAGCUCGCAUCCACAAAGUUUACCACGAUUUAACCUCGGAUUAGGUAGGGAUACCCGCUGAACUUAAGC
rnacentral:misc_RNA from 1 species